rnacentral:rRNA from 1 species
AGAGCGGGAGCCUGGAGAUGGGCACUGAGACAAGGGCCCAGGCCCUACGGGGCGCAGCAGUUGCGAAAACUCCGCAAUGCACGAAAGUGUGACGGGGCUACCCCGAGUGUCGUCCGCUGAGGGCGACUUUUCCCUGGUGUAAGGAGCCGGGGGAAUAAGGAGAGGGCAAGUCUGGUGUCAGCCGCCGCGGUAAUACCAGCUCUCCGAGUGGUGAGGACGAUUAUUGGGCUUAAAGCGUUCGUAGCCGGCUUAACAAGUCUUCCGUUAAAUCCAACGAUCUAAUCGUUGGGCCGCGGAAGAUACUGUUGAGCUAGGAGGCGGGAGAAGCCGACGGUAUUCUCGGGGUAGGGGUGAAAUCCUGUAAUCCCGGGAGGACCACCAGUGGCGAAGGCGGUCGGCU